rnacentral:rRNA from 1 species
AUUGAACGCUGGCGGCAGGCCUAACACAUGCAAGUCGAGCGGAUGAAGGGAGCUUGCUCCUGGAUUCAGCGGCGGACGGGUGAGUAAUGCCUAGGAAUCUGCCUGAUAGUGGGGGAUAACGUCCGGAAACGGGCGCUAAUACCGCAUACGUCCUGAUGGAGAAAGUGGGGGAUCUUCGGACCUCACGCUAUCAGAUGAGCCUAGGUCGGAUUAGCUAGUUGGUGGGGUAAAGGCCUACCAAGGCGACGAUCCGUAACUGGUCUGAGAGGAUGAUCAGUCACACUGGAACUGAGACACGGUCCAGACUCCUACGGGAGGCAGCAGUGGGGAAUAUUGGACAAUGGGCGAAAGCCUGAUCCAGCCAUGCCGCGUGUGUGAAGAAGGUCUUCGGAUUGUAAAGCACUUUAAGUUGGGAGGAAGGGCAGUAAGUUAAUACCUUGCUGUUUUGACGUUACCAACAGAAUAAGCACCGGCUAACUUCGUG